UUUAACGGCCGCGGUAUUUUGACCGUGCAAAGGUAGCAUAAUCAUUAGUCUUUUAAUAGAAGGCUGGAAUGAAAGGUUUGACGAAACAUUAGCUGUCUCAAUUUGAAUAUUUAGAAUUUUACUUUUGAGUUAAAAGGCUCAAAUUUUGUUGGAAGACGAGAAGACCCUAUAGAGCUUUACAUUUAAUUGGUUAUAUUUAUUUUUGUUUCAUGAUUUAGUUCUUUCUUUUUAUUUGUUUUGUUGGGGUGACAAAAAAUAUAUGCAUAACUUUUUUAUUAAAAGAACAUUUAUUUAUGAAUAUUAGAUCCAUUCUUAUUGAUUGUUAGAUUAAGUUACCUUAGGGAUAACAGCGUAAUCUUCUUUUGAAGUUCAAAUUUACAAGAAGGGUUGCGACC
rnacentral:rRNA from 1 species